rnacentral:rRNA from 1 species
AAUCAACGCUGGCGGCGUGCCUCAGACAUGCAAGUCGAACGAUUAAGACUUCCUUCGGGAAGUGUAUAGAGUGGCGCACGGGUGAGUAACACGUAAGUAAUCUACCUUUGAGUGGGAAUAACGUCCGGAAACGGACGCUAAUACCGCAUAAUGCAGCGGCAUCGUAAGAUGACAGUUGUUAAAGAUUUAUCGCUUGAAGAGGAGCUUGCGGCAGAUCAGCUAGUUGGUAAGGUAAUGGCUUACCAAGGCUACGAUCUGUAACCGGUCUAAGAGGACGGUCGGUCACACUG